UCCCAGACUCCUACGGGAGGCAGCAGUGAGGAAUAUUGGUCAAUGGACGCAAGUCUGAACCAGCCAAGUAGCGUGCAGGAUGACGGCCCUCCGGGUUGUAAACUGCUUUUAGUUGGGAAUAAAAGGGGGCUCGUGAGCCCCGUAUUGUAUGUACCAUCAGAAAAAGGACCGGCUAAUUCCGUGCCAGCAGCCGCGGUAAUACGGAAGGUCCGGGCGUUAUCCGGAUUUAUUGGGUUUAAAGGGUGCGUAGGCGGCAUUAUAAGUUAGUGGUAAAAUAUUGGGGCUUCACCUCACUACGCCAUUAAUACUGUAGAGCUAGAGAACAGACGAGGUAGGCGGAAUAAGUUAAGUAGCGGUGAAAUGCAUAGAUAUAACUUAGAACGCCGAUAGCGAAGGCAGCUUACCAGACUGAGUCUGACGCUGAUGCACGAGAGCAUGGGUAGCGAACAGGAUUAGAUACCCCCGUAUC
rnacentral:rRNA from 1 species